AAGCUCGUAGUUGAAUUUCGGAAUCAGACUGUUGGUUGUGCCUUUGGUACGCACUGGCAUUAUUGGUUCCUACCUUCUGAAGAACCGCGAUGUCAUUAAUUUGGUGUCACGGGGAAUCAGGACUGUUACUUUAAAAAAAUGAGUGUUUAAAGCAGGCGCACGCUUGAAUACAUUAGCAUGGAAUAAUGAAAAUAGGACGUUUGAUUCUAUUUUUGUUGGUUUCUAGGAUCAACGUAUGAUUAUAGGGAUAGUUGGG
rnacentral:rRNA from 1 species